UAUACGAAGUCAAUAAAUUAGUAGAAAGGAAAUGCGAUGAAAAUGUUGGAAAGAGAGGUUUUGGAAAAGAAAUUCUUCAAUCCGUCCAGUUAUGCAUGGUGAAACAUUGAACUUACAUCGGAUACAAAAUAUAUGCAUAUUAAAAAUUACAGUGCCUGUCGGUGCAAACUGAAAACUAGCGUUCAUUUUAUUCCGUUGUGAACUUAACACAUCAUGUUCUGUGCCAUGUAUAUUUCAACUCCUGCAAUCUUGCUGUUUAAGCUACAUUUCAUUAAAUAAACAUUUUUAUUCUGUAAA